CAGAGUAUUUGACCAAAGACCAAAUUGCCCUAGGAUCCGACCUUAAUCCGAAAGCAUAGAAGAAGAAACUAUCAAGUACUAUUCCCAAGCUCUCCACUCUUAUCAAUUGCUAUACUGUGAUCUUCUUUUAUCUCUGGGUUUUGAUUGCUUUGAGUUUAGGUGUCUCUUGUAUUAUGAGGAUUUAGUGGUAAAGAUUUCAACUUUUUAUCCAUUCUGAUAAUAUAUAUAUGCAGAGAUAUGAAUCUAUUAGUUUCUUGGAUUUACUUUUGUGGAUUUAAUGGAAUUCUGCAGGCUUGAGCUUUAGGAGACCUUUUCCAUAUAUAGCUACUAUAUAUCAUCUGUAGAUACAACAGAGAAUCUGAUUUGUUUUCACAUGAAUAAAGCUUUACUGCUCGCUAAGGUUUGGUUUGGAGAAUUGGGUAUGGGACAAUAGGCAUGAUUUUCUAUUAAAUAUGUUGCCAUAAAUCGCAAUGCCUCUGUGCCGGACUUCUUUCGAGGAAGGAAUUGGAAUAUGAAUAAACUCAACUGAUUGUUAUUAGUAUUCUGUGUACAUCUAUUGCUUUAGGUUGGGGAAGCUCCUCUUCUGGUAUUUUUUCUUUUUCCUGUCAAAACUUGAAGCUGCUAUUUCCUGAUGCAUGUCUUGCUCACCUUGCGAGAAUGAGGCCUGAUCACUGCCUUAACCCUGAUUCUAGGAAUACGAGAACUAAUACCCCAUUCAUAUUUCAAGGCAUGUGGAUGGAGCAUGGGAAGUUUAAGGAUUUUAUACUCUCAAGAUCCAUUUAACAGAUGAUUAGUAUAAUGCUUCCAAAAAGUGGAGCUACAAGGAACUUGUCAUCAAUACUAAAACAAACUGGUUCUUCCUAUUGUACGAUGCACGUGGAAGAUUUUGAUUACUACUGGUAGCAAAAUGUGAAAAAGAAUGUGUCAAUUUCUCGAUAUUUCUGCAUCAAGCAUCCAGACCAUAGAAGAGCCUGAGGGCUCAUCCAAUUCUUGUGCCUUAGCCCUGUUACCAGCCAAUCCCUCUGUUCAUGCAGGUACUCUGCCAGUAGGUGUUCUGGAUCACUUCUUUACAUGAAGUUUUAGUGGUUUUUACGAAGCAAUAUUAUCACUAGAUGCUAUUAAUAAGUUUGUAUGUGCAGGAAGAUAACUGAACCUUCUAGAUUAGUUUAAAUUUUGUUCGAGGUAUUAUGUAUUUCGCAUUUGCAUAGAUGAAACUCUUAUUGGGUACCCCAGAUGAAAUCAAGCAUGAAAAAAGAGUAUGUGCUAGGGGUUAACAGUAACAGCCCUAUCAUCUUUUUUCUCUAUAAAUAGAAUGCAUAUAAAGAAUCUUUGUGUUUUCAAUCUAUUUUCUUUGACAUAAUCAUAAAGAAAUACUUCCGUUAACAUGAUCUCUUUCUUUAGAUUCAAAAAUGCAAAAACAAGAAGCACCGUUUUAGUGGUUCUACCCCUGAGUUAAGAAGAACAUCUUGCUCUGACAGAUCAUGGGAAGAGACUGACAGAAUCAGUUGCUACUGAACAAUUUUGACAAAGAAUUACUGGGCACGUACUUGGUUCUAUUGAACAAGAUGGAUCCUCAGAAGAAUAGUAAAAUCCGAAAGCUAACAAUCUGGGAGAUCAUACCAUUAAGAAAGAGGUAGCAAAGUCAGAGAGAAAAGAAAUCGGACAGGCCUUGAAAUAUGAUAGGAAUAGGUUGAGUUAUCUGUUACAUAUCGAUCACGAUUAUUGUAAAUGAUCUGAGAUUGCGAAGGAUACAUGAAACGAUUUAGUUCACUGGUACUUGGUGGUGAUUCUUUUCACAUGCUAAGAAGCAUAUUAUUUGAGGUGUCCUGAAGUCGAACAGGAAUGCAGUUCAAAGACAAGACUAAUAGUCAAAGGGAAUGGAGGGGCUGUGGUGUUCUCAUUGUGUGAACCUAGUUUCAGCGACAAAUAAGGUCAGCCAGGACAAUUUUGUCGGGAUCUGAUAACCUUUCUCAAGAAUCCAUCGGAUAGGAGUUGUCCCAACCUAUCUCACCAUGUAGUCAACCUAUAUAUGCUCGAAUUGGUGAACUCCAUAUUCCAAAUUUUCUGGAGCCACUGCAGAUGGUCAAUGAUACUCUUCUAAAUCCCUGUAAGUCGAUCCCUACAUACAAAUGGAUCUUUAGUCUAAGAAAGAAGCAACAGAUUCAGCAGCAGCGGAAGAACAAAAAUAUUAGAACUGUGAGCGCUAUAGAUUUAGCAUUGAAUGAGUAUCAUUCUUCUUAUCUUCUCUGUGUUUGUUUUUUUUUUUUUUUUUUGGGUAACUUCUGUAAUUGAAUGACUUUGCAGGUAGUGCAUAAAACAGUGUGCAUUAAAAGUUUCUACUUUUUAGUUUAUUUGAUAUUCUUUUAUAAAAGUAGGCAGGUAAUUGAUUCAUGUAUGACUUUUACGUUACUGACAAAGCUUAAAAGAAUAGGCUUUACGCAUAUGUAGUUUGUUUUUUGUUGAUGCUA